UGUCCUAUGUGGUCAUAAAGAGCUGGUGGU
rnacentral:piRNA from 1 species